rnacentral:rRNA from 1 species
UACGUAGGGGGCAAGCGUUGUCCGGAUUUAUUGGGCGUAAAGAGCGUGUAGGCGGCCAGGUAGGUCCGUUGUGAAAACUGGAGGCUUAACCUCCAGCUGUCGAUGGAAACCAUCUGGCUAGAGUCCGGAAGGGGAGACUGGAAUUCCCAGUGUAGAGGUGAAAUUCGUAGAUAUUGGGAAGAACACCGGUGGCGAAGGCGGCUCUCUGGACCGAGACUGACGCUGAGGCGCGAAAGCGUGGGGAGCAAACAGG